AGAAGUGAGGGUUAUCUGUCACCUGCUGUUGAUCUCCAGGGUUGAUCUGGCUGAUCUGGCUGGCUAAGCAGAUGUCCUCUUCUUUCCUCAUUGUUCCAUGGGCAACCCUCCUGAGGACCGGUGUCAGGACAUCCCUCCUGAGGACCGGUGUCAGGGCAUCCCUCCUGAGGACCAGUGUCAGGGCAAGGGUAUAUGAGUAACUGUACUCCCCUGUUAGAACUUCCAGACACGUUCUCAAGAAAGUUAGUUGAGCGAGCCAAGGAGAGCAGCCCAAGUAAGCAUUACUGCACUGUGUCUCUGC
rnacentral:snRNA from 1 species